rnacentral:rRNA from 1 species
UACGUAGGCAGCAAGCGUUGUACGGAGUUACUGGGCGUAAAGGGUGUGUAGGCGGUUCUUUAAGUUUGGUGUGAAAUCUCCCGGCUUAACCGGGAGGGUGCGCCGAAUACUGAGGGACUAGAGUACGGGAGAGGAAAGUGGAAUUCCUGGUGUAGCGGUGAAAUGCGUAGAUAUCAGGAGGAACACCGGUGGUGUAGACGGCUUUCUGGACCGUAACUGACGCUGAGACACGAAAGCGUGGGUAGCAAACAGG